rnacentral:rRNA from 1 species
UACGUAGGGUGCAGGCGUUAAUCGGAAUUACUGGGCGUAAGGCGUGCGCAGGCGGUUUGCUAAGACAGGUGUGAAAUCCCCGGGCUUAACCUGGGAACUGCGCUUGUUACUGGCAGGCUUGAAUGUGGCAGAGGGGGGUGGAAUUCCACGUGUAGCAGUGAAAUGCGUAGGGAUGUGGAGGAACACCGAUGGCGAAGGCAGCCCCCUGGGCUAACACUGACGCUCAUGCACGAAAGCGUGGGGAGCAAACAGG